AUUGAACGCUGGCGGCAGGCUUAACACAUGCAAGUCGAGCGAGCGGCGGACGGGUGAGUAAUGUCUGGGAAACUGGCUGAUGGAGGGGGAUAACUACUGGAAACGGUAGCUAAUACCGCCUACCAUCAUAUGUGCCCAGAUGGGAUUAGCGAGUAGGUGGGGUAAUGGCUCACCAAGGCGACGAUCCCUAGCUGGUCUGAGGGGAUGACCGCCACAACUGGAAUGGGGCCACGGUCCAGCCCCUACCGGGAGCAGGCGUUGGGGAAUAUUGCACAAUGGGCGAAAUCCUGCUACAGCCAUGCCGCGUGUGGGAAGCAGGCCUUCGGGUUGUAAAGCACUUUAAGCGAGGAGGCGGUACUCGAAUAAGAAGCACCGGCUAACUCCGUGCCAGCAGCCGCGGUAAUUC
rnacentral:rRNA from 1 species